rnacentral:misc_RNA from 1 species
CAGAGAAAUGCCCUCCGGGGCAGACCUCCCACCCUGUAUAAUUUACUCUUGUUGCUUUGGCAGGCCGCCUUUGGGCCCCCGGCAGUUUUGCUGGGGAGCGCCUGCCAGAGGACCCCAACUCUUAUAUUAAUGUCGUCUGAGAACUAUAUAAUAAGUUA